GUAGGUGGCAAGCGUUGUCCGGAAUUGUUGGGCGUAAAGCGCGCGCAGGCGGUUCUUUAAGUCUGAUGUGAAAGCCCACGGCUCAACCGUGGAGGGUCAUUGGAAACUGGAGAACUUGAGUACAGAAGAGGAAAGCGGAAUUCCACGUGUAGCGGUGAAAUGCGUAGAGAUGUGGAGGAACACCAGUGGCGAAGGCGGCUUUCUGGUCUGUAACUGACGCUGAGGCGCGAAAGCGUGGGGAGCAAACAGGGAUUAGAUACCCUGGUAGUCCGCGCCGUAAACGAUGAGUGCUAAGUGUUAGGGGGUUUCCGCCCCCUUAGUGCUGCAGCUAACGCAUUAAGCACUCCGCCUGGGGAGUACGGCCGCAAGGCUG
rnacentral:rRNA from 1 species